rnacentral:rRNA from 1 species
UACGGAGGAUGCAAGCGUUAUCCGGAAUGAUUGGGCGUAAAGGGUCCGCAGGCGGCAAUGUGUGUCUGCUGUCAAAGAAUGAGGCUUAACCUCAUCAAGGCAGUGGAAACUACAUAGCUAGAGUACGGAAGAGGCGAGUGGAAUUCCUGGUGUAGCGGUGGAAUGCGCAGAUAUCAGGAGGAACACCAAUAGCGAAGGCAGCUCGCUGGGACGUUACUGACACUGAGGCGCGAAAGCGUGGGGAGCGAACAGG